UACGUAGGGUGCGAGCGUUGUCCGGAAUUAUUGGGCGUAAAGAGCUUGUAGGUGGUUUGUCACGUCGUCUGUGAAAUUCCGGGGCUUAACUCCGGGCGUGCAGGCGAUACGGGCAUAACUUGAGUACUGUAGGGGAGACUGGAAUUCCUGGUGUAGCGGUGAAAUGCGCAGAUAUCAGGAGGAACACCGGUGGCGAAGGCGGGUCUCUGGGCAGUAACUGACGCUGAGGAGCGAAAGCAUGGGUAGCGAACAGGAUUAGAUACCCGCGUA
rnacentral:rRNA from 1 species